CAUGUCUUUUUGAUUAUAAUAUAAAGUCUAAUCUGCCCACUGAAAAUUUUGAAGGGCCGCAGUAAUUUGACUGUGCAAAGGUAGCAUAAUCAUUUGUCUUUUAAAUGAAGGCUAGAAUGAAUGAUUGGACGAGGUAUAAACUGUCUCAUUAUUAAAAUAAUAAAAAUUUAACUUUUUAGUUAAAAGGCUAAAAUAGUUUUGGAGGACGAGAAGACCCUAUAGAUCUUUAUGUUAUUUGGUAUUUUUAAUUUUAGUAAAAUGAAUUUAAAGGUAUUUAAUAUAAUAUUUUGUUGGGGUGACAAGAAAAUAAAAUAAACUUUUCUUUCAUAAAACAUAGAUUAAUGAAUUUAUGAUCCAUUAUUAUUGAUUAUAAGAAUAAGUUACCUUAGGGAUAACAGCGUAAUUUUAUUGGAGAGUUCAUAUUAAUAAUAAAGUUUGCGACCUC
rnacentral:rRNA from 1 species